rnacentral:snoRNA from 1 species
UAUACUAUCCUUUCGGGAAGCAUGUCUAUAGUCAUUCCUAGAGCUCUCUGAUCGUGUAGAGUGCCUGAAACCAUGAGGAGAAGCCAGAGCAUCCUCUCCUGAGCGUAUUGCUGGUUUAGGUGUGGCUUUUGUGACUGACUUUUACCAUUGAUGAUCAUUCUUCUCUUCCCUUGGAAUGGUGAGAGGGACAGGAUGCAGUCUGAGAGU